UUUUUAAAUAAUUAAAAACAAACAAAAAAUCAAUUAAAUCAUGAAAAAUAUUAAUAAUAAUCCAAAAAAUAAUUUUAAUUCAAAAUAUGAAAGAAGAAUUAAUUUAAAUUUUUUUGGUGAAACUCUCAUAUUUUUUGGAUCAAUAUUAAAAUUAAUAUGAAUUAAUGAAAAUCAAAUGAUUAAAACACAAAUAAAAAAAUAAAAUAAAAACGUGAGCCACUUGAUCUCCCUCAUUAAUUGAGGUGGCAUAUCAAGUGGACAAA
rnacentral:lncRNA from 1 species